AUUUUGUGAUGUACAUUCUAAAUUUCUAAAUGUUCUAAGAGUUCAAAGAAGCAAAAGCAGACUAUAGUGUGUUCGGAGGGGCUUAUAGAAUGUACCUGUCUGGAGCAGAAGUGUAGCAUUAUUUUAACGGUACAAGCAAGGGAGAGCUGAUUAGGAUCCUUGCUGAGUUUGAGAAUCCAGUGCUGGAUUUAUCCUACCUUCCUUAUGCAAGCUACACCCAGAGUAAAUAGCUGAGAGAGAUUUUCCUAUCAUACACAAAUGCAGAGGGUAUGAUAGGAUAUUACCAUUUACAAAGGCUAAUGAAAUAAUAAUGCUACGCCUGUCCCAUGGCUGUUAAAAAUCAGUAAGUAAAAUUGCUGAUGGGCAAGUAUUGAAUUCGGGGAUCAGACUUACCACCUGGACCCAGUGACCAAACUGACUGCCACUUUGUAAGAAAUGAGGAUACAGAGGAAUACAUUAAAUUAGCACAGGUAAGUAGUAAAAUUUAUAGUGGAAAACUGUCCUGGAUAAAUGAUGUGACUUUUUAAAAACAAAUUGCAAGAAAAAAUGGGAGGAGAAACUUAGAGAUUGAAAUGAAUUUAAAGAUAUAUAUCAGCCAAUUGCAAUGUGUAGAUCUUGAGUUGACCAGUCACCAGAAAACAUUUACAAGACAAUUGAGGUAAUUUAAAUAGUACUUAAUUGCUAAACCAGGUGUGAGGGCAUCCCUGUAGUCCCAGCACUCCAGAGUCUGAGGCGGGAGGAUUGCUGGGAUUUAAAGGCCUGCCUGAAGUAGUGAGACCUUGCCUCAAACCCCACACCCCAAAAAGGUUAUUUCUUAUAGUAGCAUUGUGGUUUUUUGUUUAAAUCUUUAUCUUUUAGGAAAUACAUAUUAACAGAAUUUACUGAUAAGUGAUAUGAUGUAUGGACUUUACUUCAUGCUUCAAAAUAAUCUACCAAAGUGGAGGAAUGUACAGUGCAAACACUACACAUAAAAGAAACUUGACUAGUAUUUUACUGAUGUUGGGUAAUGGCUAUAAGGGAGUUCUUUAUAGUGUUCUGCUUUUUAUAUACAUUUGAAAUGGUCCAUUGUAUCAGUGCUUAUUACAGAAACAGAUAUAAUGCAAGAUAUAAAAAUAUAUAGGAAUUUACAAGAUUGGCUUACAAUCGCCACUCACAGUCAGGCUUGGAAGAGAGCAAAAGGUCUGUCUGUGCCCUGGAGAGCCGAAGGAUCCAGUUGGAGGCCUGGAGCUCACUGUAGUGUCCUGUGGGAGUAUGUAUCAGGAGGCCAAAAGGUCUGCACUGGAAGGCUGAAGAGUCUGUGCUGGAAGCACAGCUGGAGAAAGUGUCCAAGGUGAAGGCUAAGACUGGAGCUCCUCGAAAGAAACAGAAGUGAGCCUGCCUUCUUUUCCCUUUAUACCAUUCAGGUGACAAGCUGCCCUGGAGUGGGUCUUCUGUCCUCAGUAAAUCCUGCAGCCACACCCAGAACUAUGCUGAUCCAAUUUAGUUGGGCAUUUCUUACUCAAGUUGACACAAUCAGUUAACUAUCACAGACAUAAUAAAAAUUUAACAAAGAAAACAUUGAGAGAUUGCUGUGGUUGAGAUAGAAAAAGAAAAUUAGAACACACAAAAACAUUUAAGAUCAGUAAGAUAAGUUGUUUUUCCAGCAUCCUCCAAGCCACUUUGAAAUAACUACUUGAGCUGUCACAGAAUCAAUCUAUUUUUCUUCUAAUCCAGAUCAUAUUGUUGACAUAAAAUAGAAGUCAUACAUACCCACAAGAGGAUACCAUUGUUUAAGUAUAUCUACCAUAAUUAGAACUAAGAAUAAUGGAUGUAUUUAGAACUUGUACUAGGUAUUUUGCAUGUAUAAAAUACUUUAAUAUUAUCCUGUUAAACUUAAUUUCCCAUUUUAAAUAUUGAUAUUUGCUAGUUCCACAGUCUUAUAAGUAUGCCUUAUUAGCAUAUUUUUAAAAAAUUUUAAGCUAAAUCAGCUUACUGAAAAAACUACUACUUUUGUUUUCUGGCUUGAGCUGUUUUUCCUAAGUUAGGUUUUUCUUCUUUUUCUCUUGCUUAUUAUUCCUCCUCAGUGAAACUUAGAACCCUUUGAGCAACAUCCGUCCGUACACACAGAAGCCCUUAGUAAUCACCAUUCUACUUUCUGCCUCUAUAAGUUUAGCAUUUUAAGAUUCCAUGUAUACAAUCAUGCAGUAUUUGUCUUUUUGUGCCCAGGUAGGACACUUAACCUUGAUGUCCUUCAGGUUCAUCUAUGUUGUAAAUGUCAGAACAUUUUUCCUUUUAAAUGAUCAAUUGUAACAAUUGUUCCAACUAUUUUAUUAUUAAUAAACAUGUUUCUUUUCUUUUUUUUUUUUGGUACCAGGGAUCGAACUCGGGUCCUUGCGCUUGUGCAGCAGGUGGCGAAACCACUGAGCUAAAUCCCCAGCCCAAUAGACUUGCUUCUAUUUAAAGAUUCCUUCACUUUUUCUUCUCCUUUUGCUGUGUUUUAUCAAUAUGGUAUUUAGGUAACCAGUAAUAGUUAACAUUUAGCAAUUAGUUGUGCUUCUAUAUAUGCACUAUUAUUACUCUAAUGAUCAAAUAUUUAAGUGAGUGAUGUUGAUUUGGAUAUAUUAGCAUUACUGCAGUGGUUAAAAAAAUAAUUUUCUGUGUGUCAAAAGAAACAAUGCUUUGGCAUUUUACUGAGCAGAAAUCUUGCUACUGAAUGCCUACCAUGUGCUGGGCAUACACAUACAUAUAAAUAGCAGUUUUGAAUAAAGAAACUUUAUUGGAGCUUUGUUGCAUUUAUAAGAGAAUUCUUUUAUUAGAAAUACUGUCACUAUUAAGUAAUUUGUAUUUCAAAGCAUACAUCCCAAUGACUUUAAUACCUCUUACUCUGUGUGUACUUAGUAAAUCCCUGGCUAGACUCAUUAGACUUUGAACUUAGCUGUGACCUUAUCUACUAAACACAGGCGUUUUCUAUUCUAACCCUGGGAUUUCUUUUGUCUUAGAGGAACAGUCAUAACAGCUAUUCACAUAGAUGUUGCAACUGUUAGCACCUUUAGAGUUCUCUGUUUCCCUAGGUAUUCUCUCUCCAACUCUUACCCCUUCGCUCUGUAAGACCUAGCAGUGGCUCCAGCAGCUAAGAAGUAAAUGGACAUUCCUGCCAGCUGUCUCCCUUCCUCACCACACCAACAGAGUCCCUGUGGAAGAAGCUUGAAUGAAAGCUAGUGACAAAAGAACCAGACAAGAAAACAGGUGUCUGAAAACAGGAGAGCAACAGUAAUGGGAAGGCACCGUGAUUCCUCCAAGAGAAGCUCUGCAAAGGUUCACAUCCAAAGCACACCGAGAGGCACUGAAUAAUGCAGCCCUGAAAGGGCAGGGAGCACUUCAAGGUAACGUAGAAAACUGGGCAAUGUAGGGAGGUGCGAGAAGGUCUGUUGGGGAUGGCUGGGCAUCCACAACUAAUUGUGUUCUCCAGGACAAAGUGGGAAGCACUACCUCUUUCUGGAGGGAACUAGAGCUGCUACAGAGACAGCAGGUAAUGUUGAGGGGAGUAAGACAAAAGAGGGGAGGUUUUGUUUAACUGAGGGCAGCUAUCAAUUGUGCAGUCAUAAUUCUGAUCCUGGACAAUGAGCUGUUCAAAGGGAGGAGAAGGAGAUGGGGACAAAAGAAGAGGAAGAAAAAGAAGCAUCCGUGCAGUGGCCUGGGAGGGAGCUGCCCAGUGGGCAAAGGAAUGUAAACGAACGGAGGCCAUGUCUGUUGUGAUGACAGAUGUGUUUCCUGCAGUGUCGGGAGAGCAGCCCAGGAGGAGAAGGCAGAGGGCAAAACUGGACCAUUGGGCCAGAUGCAGGGAAUGCUGCCGCAUCACUGCCAGCUUGAUGUCCCAUGGAGACAAACACCAGCAGAGUUCACGUUGACAUCCUGGGGAGAUUGCACUCAGGAUUGUGAUUUCUUUGUAUCAUAUUGUCACACUGGUGGAGCAGGAUCAUUUAAGCUAAAAACAAAUACACUGGGUUUCAGAGUUUAGUUCUCUUUUAUGAUUCUGUAAUCAUUAUGGUUAGAUAUGCUUAAAGAAAGAUACAUGUGUGUUUUUCCAUCAUUUUCUUUAGAAGACACCUGACUGCUUAUCUUUACUCGGGAGUGAGGUUUAGAAGUGAGACGCAGCCUGCAAUCACAACUCUAGGACCCUGGGAGCACUCAGCAUCGGGUGGAUUAAGUCACCCGUCUUUGUCUUCUCUCCUUCAUGCUGGUAUUCCACCAUGGCUAGUAUAACUCCUGCCCUUUAUCCUUGACCCACUGCUCAUCUUUUAUGAUUCACUGCAGAGGUCAAUAUGUGGGGACAACCUCCCCUGACCCUUACAGACACUGCAAUGCUUUCUCCUCUGAUUUCCCACAGCACACUCUUCUGUCAUGUAAUUAUCUCAUGUGUUACACAUUUAGGGAGCUAGGCACAGGCCCACUGAUCCCUGUGUAAAUGCUAUGGCUUGUAGCCCAAACAAGUCCCUGCCCCUGACAUCCAAAUCCUUUUUUGUUUUUUUGCGGGGAGGUGACUCUUACCUUGUGCUCCACUUUGCUCUUCUAACAGGAUUAAGUGGGCUGCCUUCCUUUCUACUCCAACAGCAUUUGAUGACACCAGGCAGCACUGACAGGCAGGCUGCAUCCCCACCGUGCCAAUACCACCCAGCAGGAUUGCUCUUGCCCACCUUGAUAGGUGGCGGGAAAAUUACUGAUCACCUUCUAGACCCGCAUCAAAGCUUCCUGUAACCUGGCAGUGAAUGAAAUGCACAACCUUCCAACUCAAUGACAUUUAAGGCAACCUCUCAUCGGUUCA